GACGAACGCUGGCGGCGUGCUUAACACAUGCAAGUCGAACGAUGAAGCCUAGCUUGCUAGGUGGAUUAGUGGCGAACGGGUGAGUAAUACGUGAGUGACCUACCUUUGACUCUGGGAUAAGCCUGGGAAACUGGGUCUAAUACCGGAUACGACCAAUCUCUGCAUGGGGUGUUGGUGGAAAGCGUUAUGGAGUGGUUUUAGAUGGGCUCACGGCCUAUCAGCUUGUUGGUGAGGUAAUGGCUUACCAAGGCGACGACGGGUAGCCGGCCUGAGAGGGUGACCGGCCACACUGGGACUGAGACACGGCCCAGACUCCUACGGGAGGCAGCAGUGGGGAAUAUUGCACAAUGGGCGCAAGCCUGAUGCAGCGACGCCGCGUGAGGGAUGACGGCCUUCGGGUUGUAAACCUCUGUUAGCAUCGAAGAAGCGAAAGUGACGGUAGGUGCAGAGAAAGCGCCGGCUAACUACGUGCCAGCAGCCGCGGUAAUACGUAGGGCGCGAGCGUUGUCCGGAAUUAUUGGGCGUAAAGAGCUUGUAGGCGGUUGGUCGCGUCUGCUGUGAAGGCCGGGGCUUAACUCCGGUUUUGCAGUGGGUACGGGCUAACUAGAGUGCAGUAGGGGAGGCUGGAAUUCCUGGUGUAGCGGCGGAAUGCACAGAUAUCAGGAGGAACACCGAUGGCGAAGGCAGGUCUCUGGGCUGUAACUGACGCUGAGAAGCGAAAGCAUGGGGAGCGAACAGGAUUAGAUACCCUGGUAGUCCAUGCCGUAAACGUUGGGCACUAGGUGUGGGGGACAUUCCACGUUUUCCGCGCCGUAGCUAACGCAUUAAGUGCCCCGCCUGGGGAGUACGGCCGCAAGGCUAAAACUCAAAGGAAUUGACGGGGGCCCGCACAAGCGGCGGAGCAUGCGGAUUAAUUCGAUGCAACGCGAAGAACCUUACCAAGGCUUGACAUGCAUUAGAUCGCGUCAGAGAUGGCGUUUCCCUUCGGGGCUGGUGUACAGGUGGUGCAUGGUUGUCGUCAGCUCGUGUCGUGAGAUGUUGGGUUAAGUCCCGCAACGAGCGCAACCCUCGUUCUAUGUUGCCAGCGGUUCGGCCGGGGACUCAUAGGAGACUGCCGGGGUUAACUCGGAGGAAGGUGGGGAUGACGUCAAAUCAUCAUGCCCCUUAUGUCUUGGGCUUCACGCAUGCUACAAUGGCCGGUACAGAGGGUUGCGAUACUGUGAGGUGGAGCUAAUCCCUUAAAGCCGGUCUCAGUUCGGAUUGGGGUCUGCAACUCGACCCCAUGAAGUCGGAGUCGCUAGUAAUCGCAGAUCAGCAACGCUGCGGUGAAUACGUUCCCGGGCCU
rnacentral:rRNA from 1 species